UACGGGGGGAGCAAGCGUUGUUCGGAUUUACUGGGCGUAAAGGGCGCGUAGGCGGCCACCGCAAGUCACUUGUGAAAUCUCCGGGCUUAACCCGGAAAGGUCAACUGAUACUGCGGGGCUAGAGUGCAGAAGGGGCAACUGGAAUUCUCGGUGUAGCGGUGAAAUGCGUAGAUAUCGAGAGGAACACCAGUGGCGAAAGCGACUUCCUGGCCUGUUCUUGACGCUGAGGCGCGAAAGCUAGGGUAGCAAACGGG
rnacentral:rRNA from 1 species